GACGAACGCUGGCGGCGUGCUUAACACAUGCAAGUCGAGCGGAAAGGCCUUUCGGGGUACUCGAGCGGCGAACGGGUGAGUAACACGUGGGUAACCUGCCUUCAGCUCUGGGAUAAGCCUGGGAAACUGGGUCUAAUACCGGAUACGACACGCGGCCGCAUGGUUGUGUGUGGAAAGUUUUUCGGCUGGAGAUGGACUCGCGGCCUAUCAGCUUGUUGGUGGGGUAGUGGCCUACCAAGGCGAUGACGGGUAGCCGGCCUGAGAGGGCGACCGGCCACACUGGGACUGAGACACGGCCCAGACUCCUACGGGAGGCAGCAGUGGGGAAUAUUGCGCAAUGGGCGAAAGCCUGACGCAGCAACGCCGCGUGAGGGAUGACGGCCUUCGGGUUGUAAACCUCUUUCAGCGCUGACGAAGCCUUCGGGUGACGGUAGGCGCAGAAGAAGCACCGGCUAACUACGUGCCAGCAGCCGCGGUAAUACGUAGGGUGCGAGCGUUGUCCGGAAUUAUUGGGCGUAAAGGGCUCGUAGGCGGUUUGUUGCGUCUGCUGUGAAAGCCCGGGGCUUAACCCCGGGUCUGCAGUGGAUACGGGCAGGCUAGAGUCCGGCAGGGGAGACUGGAAUUCCUGGUGUAGCGGUGGAAUGCGCAGAUAUCAGGAGGAACACCGGUGGCGAAGGCGGGUCUCUGGGCCGGUACUGACGCUGAGGAGCGAAAGCGUGGGGAGCGAACAGGAUUAGAUACCCUGGUAGUCCACGCCGUAAACGUUGGGCGCUAGGUGUGGGUUCCCUUCCACGGGAUCCGUGCCGUAGCUAACGCAUUAAGCGCCCCGCCUGGGGAGUACGGGCCGCAAGGCUAAAACUCAAAUGAAUUGACGGGG
rnacentral:rRNA from 1 species